rnacentral:misc_RNA from 1 species
UACACUUCUUGUUUCAACUAUCUGCAAGCCAGCGUUGUAAUCAAAAGACUUUAGUCCACAUUAAUCAGAUAGUAGUAGCACUGCACAAAGGAACCUAGUGGAAUACAAAUUUCUCAUGUGACAUCUAAAUGAAUCUCAAGUUCCAUAAUACAUAAUCAAAUGAAGAAUCCAAUCAACAUUCCACUGAUUGACAGUAACAGAUAUUCAGAUUUUAGAACUUCCAAAUCUUUCAAACCUGUUUGUAAAAAUGAAAAGGGAAUGCCUAAAAAACCAGCAUUUCACCGCAAUUAAGUAUAACGGUCAGACUAGCUUACCUAGAUUCUUUCAACAAAUUAUUAUUGCGAAGUUGGAGUCGGAGACAAAGUAAAUUACCAAUUUCCAAUUUUUGAGGAAACACAGAGCAAACAGUAAACAUCAAUUCCAUCAUGAAGAAUGGAGAAUACCAAAAGAAAGACCCUCAAAAGAAAGUAAACUUCUAUAAUUUAAAUAUGGAAACCUAGCCUUUCACUUUCCCAGGGCUGAGUUAAGAAGUAACCAAGCCAUGAUACCCAAUUGACCAAACCACCAAAAUGUUUGUGCUCAGAAUUCUCCUACCUAACCUUCCCUUGAUCUCCCCUCUUCUUUUUCUCUCUUUCUUUUUAUUCUUCGCUUUUUUUUAUUUAUUUAUUUCUUUUAACAUCCAGUCUAAACCAUAAGAUCUUCAGUUACGACUUAUGAUACCCAAUGCUGAGAUUGAAACUAGUCCCAUUACAAUAGAACUGGAUUUCAAGCUCUAAUUAUCACUGUAAGUUAGUAAGUGCCACAAAGAAGACUAAUCAACGCACAGACAGGAAAAUAUCCGACUGAAGGAAAUAAAGCCGUAUUGCACCCAAAAGGGUGAUAACUGAUUAAGCAUAUCCUGAUCUAACCUUCAAUCAUCAGUCCAGGCCUCAAGGAGAUCAACAUCAUAAUGCUUGAAUUUGAUAGCUCAGACAUCCAAAUAUGUGAUCAUACAAACACAUAACAGUCAGAAACCAUUUAACCUCCAUAUAAGUUGCUCUUGGCUGACUGCAGCUAAGACUGCAUGUAACUAAUAUAGUAUUUCUUGAUGCUUGGUAGAACAUAACACAUGUAGCAAGUUUAAAAACAAAUGAAUAAUAAAAUGUAAAAUCAUUGGGUUGUAAUAAUAAUUCACAUAGGAUAUUAUCAUAUUCUACAAUUCAAUUAUAACAAGCAUCCAUAAUUGUCUCAUUCAUAUUAUGGCCAGAGAAGCUUCAUAAGACGCUGUUAUUUUUACUCAGAUAAAAUGAUAAUUGAUCAAAUUCAUGUGAUAAAGUGUGAGGCCAAAAGCAGAUUGUUUGCAGGCCUUUACUAUACACACACAACAAUUUUAGAGGAACAAGAAGAACGCAAUGAAUGCAUUAAAGUAAACAGUAAAUAAAUAAAGAGAGGAAAAAAAUAUGAAAAUAAAACUCUUGCCUGGGGAGUUGAUAGAAUCUCAAA